rnacentral:misc_RNA from 1 species
GGCCAACAGAUCGCCAGAUCGUUGAGCUCCAUUGGCGGGAUUUCGCCGUCUACGUUUCUCUUUCUUCGCGGACGAACACGCGCUGGGCCUGCAUCGGCAGGAUCCAGGGUCCUUAACGGGAUAUGCGUUAGGGGCUUGUAGCUCAGUUGGUUAGAGCGCGCGCUUGAUAAGCGUGAGGUCGGAAGUUCAAGUCUUCCCAGGCCCACCACGCUUCGCCGUUGGCUUCGCGUGGCACCGCCACGCAAGACGAUGCGAAGCGUGUCCGGCAUAGCCGUAAGGCGACGCCGGACUUUUGAAGGGCGCUUCGUCUUCUGGUUACGGGGCCAUAGCUCAGCUGGGAGAGCGCGUGCUUUGCAAGCAUGAGGUCGUCGGUUCGAUCCCGUCUGGCUCCACCAGAUGGUUUGAUCAUCGACUGAUCGUGCACCGUCGUCCGCGAAACAUCACUUCGCAUCCUGCUAGUCUGGAUAGACAGCAAGAUGCGUGUUUUCUGACAUCGUAAAGAGGAGAUCGAUCCGAGUUGGGUCGUGUAGCAGAUUGCUGCGCGAAUCCUUCAUUAUCUCCGGAUCAUUUUCGGCGCUCAUUGCCGACCGCAAGGUUGGUAGCGAGUUGUAAAAUGAUCCUUUUAGCGAAGCUUGACCGCCUCGCUAUCGGAACGAUCUUACGAAGCAAGCUGGUCUUUCUAGUCAAUGUCCGGCUGUACGUAGCAUUCAUCGAGGGUGCGCGCCGUAAGGCAAUCGUACAGACAACAUUCUGCCGAGUGUGUGGACAUUGAUAAUGAGAGCAAUCAAGUGCCUUAAGGGUGUUCGGUGGAUGCCUUGGCGCUGAGAGGCGAUGAAGGACGUGCUACGCUGCGAUAAGCCGUGGGGAGCUGCGAAGAAGCUUUGAUCCGCGGAUUU